ensembl:snRNA U2 U2 spliceosomal RNA
AUCGCUUCUUGGCUUUUUGGCUAAGAUCAAGUUUAGUAUCUGUUCUUAUCAGUUUAAUAUCUCCUCUAUUUGACUGUACAUUAAAUAGACUUUUAGAAGGGGGAGAUGGAAGACGGGCUUGAGGGGUUAUGGAAAGGUAGAAACACCAACUUUU